GCCUUCGUGGUGUAAUAGUAAAGCACACUCGGCGCGUAUUCCAGAGGUCUGUGGUUCGAAUCCCGGCAAUGGCA
rnacentral:tRNA from 1 species